AUUGAACGCUGGCGGCAGGCCUAACACAUGCAAGUCGAGCGGAUGAAGGGAGCUUGCUCCUGGAUUCAGCGGCGGACGGGUGAGUAAUGCCUAGGAAUCUGCCUGGUAGUGGGGGAUAACGUCCGGAAACGGGCGCUAAUACCGCAUACGUCCUGAGGGAGAAAGUGGGGGAUCUUCGGACCUCUCGCUAUCAGAUGAGCCUAGGUCGGAUUAGCUAGUUGGUGGGGUAAAGGCCUACCAAGGCGACGAUCCGUAACUGGUCUGUGAGGAUGAUCAGUCACACGGGAACUGAGACACGGUCCAGACUCCUACGGGAGGCAGCAGUGGGGAAUAUUGGACAGUGGGCGAAAGCCUGAUCCAGCCAUGCCGCGUGUGUGAAGAAGGUCUUCGGAUUGUAAAGCACUUUAAGUUGGGAGGAAGGGCAGUAAGUUAAUACCUUGCUGUUUUGACGUUACCAACAGAAUAAGCACCGGCUAACUUCGUG
rnacentral:rRNA from 1 species